AUUCGAGGGGCAAAGGCGUCGUGGUCUAGAUCUUGGACCGGAUUGAGGUGAGUAAUGAUUUUAAAUGUUGUCCUGAGGGUAUGAAACCCCAGAUUGCACAUCGUGGUGCUAUAUUGAGGUGACGCACACAGUAGAUGACGAGCGUGGGGUCGUGCACUAUUGGGGAUUAUGACUUAGUCCAUCCCGAAUGAUUGUUUUACCGCAUAUUUUGACUGAAAACUAUUUGCUAUCAUCAUGUUUUGGGUUGAAUAUCAUACUUGGGCUUCGUGCCAACUAUUUGAACCCUUAGGGGAUUUUUACUGAUAUUUUCUCACUGUUUUCACUUAUUACUUGAACUCAGUCAUGUUAUAUUCUACUGUUUUCAUAACUCAACCAUGUUUACUCUGCUUUAACACUUAAAAUGAUAUUUUGGGUUGAACAUCAUAUUUUACUGUUGCCCUAGUGGCUUUUGAGAUUCUGACUGAGUAAGGCCGAGGGCCUAUGUUGUGAGGAAACACCUGAUUAUGAUUAUGAGGCCGAGGGCCUGAGAUUUGUACGUCAUGAUAUGGCUUGUUGAUAUGAGGCCGAGAGCCUAGUGAUGAUGCCACGAGAUGGCUUGAUAUUACGCUUGGGUCGUAAGGGGCCCCUCCAAGAGUCUGCACACCCCCAGUGAGCGCGGGCACCCAUUGUGAUGUGAGAUAUAGCCUGAGGGGCUGAGGGGCUGGUUAUUGUUCCAUGUGUUGCCUGAGGGGCUUAUUUUGUUGGUAUUGUGCCCGAGGGACAUUUCUUUAUGUGUUUACCUUUUGUAGUUACCUGUAUUUUACUUGCUUAACUAUUUGAAAAUAAAAUUUUAAGAAGCAUAAAUUGAACUAAAGUGACUUUGCAUAUUUUCACUAUUUCAAUACUUUUACUGCUUUUACUGCUUCCUUAUAGCCUGUAAUGUGCCUUACGUGAUUUCCUAUUUCUCAGCCUUUAUUUAUGACUAUUACUCACUGAGUUGGAGUACUCACUUUACUCCUUGCACCCUGUUUGCAGAUUCAGGCGCAUCAGGUCCCGCUAGCGAGUGUUGAUCCUCCCAGCUCAGGUGGAUUCGAAGAUUCUCUAGGUAGCUGCCGACGUUCGCAGCCCAGAGCUUCUUCCCUUAUCUUAUUAUUCUCUACUUUAGAUCUGUAUUAGACUAUGUAGACUUUUCUUGUCUUUAUUCGGAUUGUAGAUGCUCAUGACUGGUGACACCUCGAUGUUGGGUUAUGUCUAUUCCGCAACUGUCUUGUUUACCUUAUUUUGGGAUUUUCAUUAUUAUGUUAUGACUUAGUU
rnacentral:lncRNA from 1 species